rnacentral:rRNA from 1 species
CAGUCGCCGCGGGAAUACGAAGGGGGCUAGCGUUGUUCGGAAUUACUGGGCGUAAAGGGCGCGUAGGCGGCCAUCCAAGUUAGAUGUGAAAGCCCUGGGCUCAACCUAGGAAUUGCAUUUGAUACUGUUUGGCUUGAGUUCGGGAGAGGUGAGUGGAAUUCCCAGUGUAGAGGUGAAAUUCGUAGAUAUUGGGAAGAACACCAGUGGCGAAGGCGGCUCACUGGACCGACACUGACGCUGAGGCGCGAAAGCGUGGGGAGCAAACAGGAUUAGAGACCCCCGUAGUCCCUGUCUCUUAUAC